rnacentral:lncRNA from 1 species
GUGCUUCUGUGGCAAUCUCAGGAUAUUCUACCUCAUGCCUCCUCAGUCAUUUAUCUCAAUUCAUCCAAUUAUGGUGCUAGCCAAAAGAAAUACAUGCCACCUCUUGAAUCAGACUGUCCUAAAAGUUCAUGACAAAUGCCCUUAGCGAGCAGGAUCAAAUCUUCACCAACAGUGAAAGAGGAGAGAGCAGAUGCGAGUGUACAGUUUGCAGUAUUUAAGGAAGAGCUGAAUAGGAUACGGAAUCUUCAUAGUGCCAACAACUCCAAAGCAAAUAACUGUGGCUUUCAUCUCUUUUAUAAUUUAUAUUGCAUCAAGCAGUUACUCCCUAUAUGUGUAUUAAUUAAUUCAAAUCAUACGCUCUUCAAAUACAAAGAUGAAUACUACAGGAUAAACUAUAACUACAAUAUGUAUUUCCUAAGAGAAACACCAAAGGGAAUUUCUCCUUCCAAUGUCUUGAUUUAA